rnacentral:rRNA from 1 species
GACGAACCGUGCGAACGUUGUUCGGAAUCACUGGGCUUAAAGGGCGCGUAGGCGGGCGAGCGAGUCGGAGGUGAAAUCCCACGGCCCAACCGUGGAAGUGCCCCCGAUACUGCUCGUCUGGAGGGAGAUAGGGGCGUGCGGAACUUCCGGUGGAGCGGUGAAAUGCGUAGAUAUCGAGAGGAACACCUGCGGCGAAGGCGGGUUGCUGGGCUGACACUGACGCUGAUGCGCGAAAGCCAGGGGAGCGAACGGG